rnacentral:ncRNA from 1 species
GGGCGGUAUCUAUUGCGAACUGCACCUAUUGGAAAUUUCUGAAAAAUUUAAAAUUCAAUAUGAUCUGCCUUGAUCUUUAGUAAAAGACAGGGACGGAGG